CACCUACGGGAGGCUGCAGUAACGAAUAUUGGGCAAUGGGCGCAAGCCUGACCCAGCAAUGCCGCGUGCAGGAGGAAGUCCUUCGGGAUGUAAACUACUGUCAGGGGUCAACAAGCAAAGGGACCUAAUACGUCCUGGCGUUGAGUCGCCCCAGAGGAAGCCUCGACUAACUCUGUGCCAGCAGUCGCGGUAAGACAGAGGAGGCAAGCGUUGUUCGGAAUCACUGGGCUUAAAGCGCGUGUAGGCGGCUUGGUAAGUGUCGUGUGAAAUCCCAUGGCUCAACCAUGGAACUGCACGGCAAACUACCUAGCUUGAGGUCGGUAGAGGUGCCUGGAACUCUAGGUGGAGCGGUGAAAUGCGUAGAUAUCUAGAGGAACGCCGGUGGCGAAAGCGGGUGACUGGGCCUGUCCUGACGCUGAGACGCGAAAGCGUAGGGAGCAAACGGGAUUAGAUACCCCGGUAGUCUACGCUGUAAACGAUGCGCACUAGGUUCGAGAGUCUCUGACGAUUUUCGAGCCGAAACAAAAGCGUUAAGUGCGCCGCCUGGGGAGUACGGCCGCAAGGCUAAAACUCAAAGGAAUUGACGGGGGCUCACACAAGCGGUGGAG
rnacentral:rRNA from 1 species